GUAUAAGAGACAGCAGUCGCCGCGGUAAUACGGAGGGUGCAAGCGUUAAUCGGAAUUACUGGGCGUAAAGCGCACGCAGGCGGUCUGACAAGUCAGAUGUGAAAUCCCCGGGCUUAACCUGGGAACUGCAUUUGAAACUGUCAGGCUGGAGUCUUGUAGAGGGGGGUGGAAUUCCAGGUGUAGCGGUGAAAUGCGUAGAGAUCUGGAGGAAUACCGGUGGCGAAGGCGGCCCCCUGGACAAAGACUGACGCUCAGGUGCGAAAGCGUGGGGAGCAAACAGGAUUAGAUACCCCUGUAGUCCCUGUCUCUUAUAC
rnacentral:rRNA from 1 species